rnacentral:tRNA from 1 species
CGGGAUGUGGCGAAGCUUGGUAUCGCGCUUGGUUCGGGACCAAGAGGCCGUGGGUUCGAAUCCCACCAUUCCGACCA